UGCCGGGGUGCAGGGGGGCGAUGGAAGGAGCCGGCGCUGGCCCGCACGUGGGUGGGCGAUUGGUAGGCUGGCAGCUGAACACCUGGUCCCUCCAUUCCCGUCCCUGCACAGGCUGCUGCCAGCCCCAGGCCACUACAGCCUCACUGGAGCCAUAAAGACAAGAACAAGCAGGUACUACCAGGACAGACAAAUAAACAGUGGAUUCCCUCCUCAUACUUUGAUGUCCUUGACAGUAGAUUAUAGAAGAUCCGAAGGACAAGUGCAGGCUGGAAUGCUGGCAUGAGAGCCUAGAAUUCAAUUAAAGGAACCAGAUAGUCAUAUACAGAAUUAUAGCUAGCUUCUGUAACUGACAACCUUGCAAACCUUCUUCUCAUAUUGUAUGGACUGUACUUACUGUGAAUCGUUAUUAACCUCUGUGAAAUGUAGCUGCUGAAAAAGGGAUCUGAGCUGCAACAAUUAUAAAUUGUAUCCAGGAUUGAAAAUUGAUUUACAGACAUCAUCUGGGACUGAAAACCAUUCUCAAAGAAACUGUUUUCUGUUCAACUAUUAUUAUAAAUGAAGAAAACAGAAACAGUGAAGUGAAGAAACAGAUUGUCAGAGCCAGAAAAGUACCCAGAAGUCACUUACUACAGGACAGGCCCAACAAAGAAAGUAACAGAACACCACUAGCUGUCACCAUUAGCUCCGAACUAAAAUCUCUCCAGUGCAUCAUCAA
rnacentral:lncRNA from 1 species